GAGCAGUUGUAGUGUUUCAUCAGAUUCUGCAGCUCUCUCCCUUCAUCUAUGCAUCUUCAGCAGCAAAGAGACCAGCACGACCCAUUUGAUCUGGAAAACACCUCACUCCAUUUCCUAAGGGACCUCUGUAUAAUUCAAUCCAGCCUGAAGAAAAUAACUUUGAUCUGAAAGCACUAGGAAAACCUACAUACGAAAAGUUCUGGCACAGAAUCUGACUUUUCCUGGACCCCACCCCAGCAGGGAAGGGGAAACACAAAUGGGCGGCAAAGGCACCUCUCAUUCCUUAUGAUGAUGAAGGGAGAGAGACUUCCAGAAGGAAGAAAUGGUCUUCAUAAAGGCAGAAUAUAAAGCCAUUUUCAUGUGGA